AACCAUAGAAACCUGCGGAGUACCUGCGGAGGGAUCAUUACAGAGUUGCAAGACUCCCUAAACCAUUGUGAACGUUACCUAAACCGUUGCUUCGGCGGGCGGCCCGGGUCCUUCCCGGCGCCCCUCGGCCCUCGCGGGCGCCCGCCGGAGGUAAACCAAACUAUUGCAUUGUAUGGCCUCUCUGAGUCUUCUGUACUGAAUAAGUCAAAACUUUCAACAACGGAUCUCAGAUCGGAAGAG
rnacentral:misc_RNA from 1 species